GGUUAAGUGACUAAGCGUACAGGGCGGAUGCCUUGGCAAUCAGAGGCGAUGAAGGACGUGCUAAUCUGCGAAAAGCUUGGAUGAGUCGAUAAGAGGCGUUUAAUCCAAGAUAUCCGAAUGGGGAAACCCAGUAGAUGAAGAAUCUACUAUCAAUAAAUGAAUACAUAGUUUAUUGAGGCGAACCGGGAGAACUGAAACAUCUAAGUACCCCGAGGAAAAGAAAUCAACCGAGAUUCUGUGAGUAGCGGCGAGCGAAAGCGGAAGAGCCAGUAAGUUUUAGCUAGCAUAUUAGAGGAAUUGGCUGGGAAGCCAAAUCAAAGAGGGUGAUAAUCCCGUACUCGAAAGUAUGUUAGUGGAACUAAGCUUACGAUAAGUAAGGCGGGACACGAGAAAUCCUGUUUGAAGAUGGGGGGACCAUCCUCCAAGGCUAAAUACUCCUGAUUGACCGAUAGUGAACCAGUACUGUGAAGGAAAGGCGAAAAGAACCCCGGUGAGGGGAGUGAAAUAGAACCUGAAACCCUGUACGUACAAGCAGUAGGAGCGAGGGCAACCUUGUGACUGCGUACCUUUUGUAUAAUGGG
rnacentral:rRNA from 1 species